CCAAGAUGAUCAGGGGAAACAAGUGGGACAUCCAGGAGACCUGCCAAGAGUUCCCACAUCGACUCCAGGCAUGUCUUACAUGGAGAGGCUGCACCAAAACUCUUCGAAACCUGGCUGCCGUUUUAGGCCAAAAAGAUUCUGUACCUGGCGAGAUGGGAAGGGAAACUGAACUCUUCGCUCGAUGGAUUAACACCUGAUUGUUUGGGGGAACUGGCCCUGAACCAGCUACCAACGCUCCUUCCACCAACCGUGUACAAAGUUGGCUGAAAGGUAUUCUGGCACACCAUCGAGGAGUCGAAAUUGACAUUUAUGGACCAUAAGCCUGUCUCCCCUUAACUCGUGAUUUGACCGGCUGGUCGAAGAGUGAUCAGUUAUCAUCGCUGGGGAGGCUCUGGAACAAAGACACUGCUUCAGGCAGUUGACGUCUGCUUUAAGGUAUUCUACAUAUUUGACAUCGAGUACCCAAUGCAGUGUGCUCUUGUUUGGGAGUAUGGAAUGGAAGGAGAUGGAAGUCAAAACC